rnacentral:sRNA from 1 species
AAGUACAUUUUAGAAUAAAAUAUUCUAGUAAUAUUAAACCGAUCUCUUAAGAGAUUUUGAAAUUGUUUGGAGACACUUGAUACUCUACAGAAAAAGAAGAGAUAUAGGUGAAUACGGCUAUUCUUGACCACAUCAUGCCCUGUGGCCAAAAGGUAUUCAUACACUGUAGCCAAAGUACUUUACAUUACUAUGUACUCUUUCACCUCCCAGAUCUCCAGGUGUUAACCAAAUAGAACAUUGUGAUCUUUAAACAAGGAGACAAAGGUAUUGCUUCCUUACCUCCACUUCAUAUAAAAUGUAGAGGCAAGAACAACUUAAUAAGAACGUAGUUCCUGCCAGAGUCUCGAUCGCUAAGAAGCAAGACUGUGCCGUGCAGACAUCACCAGGCAGAGAGUAUCUGAAGGAUAGGAGGAAAGGAAAUAGUCUAAAGAUAAUGUUCAUCCCAGUUCAUGAUGAGUCUGAGCUCUUCAGAUUUGUAGCAAAGUUAAGGUGAGGAGGCUGAAUCUUUCUACCCUAAGCAGACCAGUUUUGGGAUUUAGAUGACAGGUCGAAAGUGGCAUAGCAUUGGAUAUGGUCUGAGCAACUGUCUUUAGCUGAAACAAUUAUUGAAAUAUACCAUUUGAGGGCAAUAGUCAUUACUGAUGAUAUCUAAGAAAUUAAUCACUUUAGGUUUUUGUUGGAACUAAGAAGUACAUUAUAAUAAAUGCUAUAUGCUUCCACUUAGGACAUGGCACAAUGCAGUAGCUGUUGGUUCAGUCCAGCCUCACCAUUUUUGUUUAUGGUGGAGCAUUGAAGGCUGCUUUUAGCUAUAGAAGCAGUUUGAGGUGAUCUUUAGGUUGUAAUCUCUGGAAGAAACUUUCUACAAAUUUCAUUCAUGAUUCUCCUCCCACAGAUCUUUGACCUUGUAUAUUAACAUGUCUACACUUCUAAAAUUCAUAAUGAAUGAACCUGGCAUUAAGUCUUAACAGCUGACACUCAAUAACCACGAGUCCCGCCUGCAUGCAUGCCUACAGGCCUGAAAAGGGCACCAGAUCUCAUUCUAGAUGGUUAUGAUCCACCAUGUGGUUGCCGGG